CCUACGGGAGGCAGCAGUGAGGAAUAUUGGUCAAUGGACGCAAGUCUGAACCAGCCAUGCCGCGUGCAGGAAGACGGCUCUAUGAGUUGUAAACUUCUUUUGUCAGGGAGCAAUUGAGUCCACGUGUGGGCUUAGCGAGAGUACCUGAAGAAAAAGCAUCGGCUAACUCCGUGCCAGCAGCCGCGGUAAUACGGAGGAUGCGAGCGUUAUCCGGAUUUAUUGGGUUUAAAGGGUGCGUAGGCGGAAUAUCAAGUCAGCGGUAAAAUUCGGGGCUCAACCCCGUCGUGCCGUUGAAACUGAUGUUCUUGAGUGGGCGAGAAGUAUGCGGAAUGCGUGGUGUAGCGGUGAAAUGCAUAGAUAUCACGCAGAACUCCGAUUGCGAAGGCAGCAUACCGGCGCCCAACUGACGCUGAAGCACGAAAGCGUGGGUAUCGAACAGGAUUAGAUACCCGAGUAGUC
rnacentral:rRNA from 1 species